ensembl:lncRNA
GGGAAAAGAAGAUGGAGGAAAAUAUCUUUCCUGCAAGGUUAAUUGACUAUAAGGUGAAAUUCAUCUGAGGACCAUCUCUUCUGCUGAAUGAUUCUUUGAUUUGGUUGGAGGGGAACUGAUACUGCACUCAAAACAAUCAUGCAGCAGAAGUGAGUGAAACACAUGUGAGACGUAUUAUGAUGCAUAUUUUGUAUGCUGGCUGUAACAAACAGCAGGCAGGCAGGACUCACUAUCCACUGCAGACUUCCUUUUCAGGAUAACUGGACAAGUCAUAACCUCUGCUGAUGCCAAGAGCUAUUACUGGGCACUACUGAAGAUGAAAAACCAUUUGCAGAUUUGAAAAUAUGGAACUGGGGGCUCUAAUUCAGGACAUUCAGUCAAGAACAUCCAAGGUAUUUAUAAACCAAUCUCCCACUGGUUUUCACUGAAAACCCUGCUACACUUGAAGAACUGAAUCUUCAGUUUGAUGGGCAACAAUUUAUGAUGGGUAAAGAAGAGCAAAGGCUGGAUUGUGAAGGUCCUGCUUCCCCAGUGGUAAUCUACUGCCUGCACUCUCUUGACUUUUGGCUCAAUGGAAGACGUGAUUUGAUAAACGUAAUGUCUCCUACAAUAAUUUCCCUGGAGGUGCUCAAGACCAGGUUGGAUGGGGACCUGAACAACUUGGUCUAGUACCAGAUCUGGAGGUUGGUGGCUCUGCCUGUGGCAGGGAAGUUGGAACUUGACGAUCCUCGGGGUCCCUUCCAACCCAAACCAUUCUAUGAUUCUAUGAUAAUUAAAGCAUUGAUAAUUAUACAAAUUUAGACACCCAGGAUUUGACUCUUACUGAUGUUCAAGCACCUGCCUUUGGGUUGAACUAGGGACCCACCUUGUCUAAACACCUGAAUUGUGCCUAAAUCAUACAUUCCAGCAAAGAAGCCCUCUCGUAGUCUUCCUGGGGACCUGUUUGAGUCUAUCUGGAAGCAGACUUGCAGUGAACUUCCAACACCUUAAAGUGGUUCAGCAUCUGCAAGGCAGGCAAAGGUAGGAGUUUAUUAAAGGCAGAAUCCCACCCACCCCUGAGCACAUGUAAAGAUUUGGGCCCAAACCAAAGCUCAGGCUGCAAUAGCUAAAGGAGGCUGAUUCAAGCCUUGCCCGUGCUUUUAAUGCUGAAUUAUCCCAGGUGCCACGGGGAGGGAUACAUAGAAAACAGAUGGAGAGGUACUCCUGAGCAUCUAAAGACAAGCAGAUCAGUUAGAUCAGGCUCUGUAGAUCUUGUUUGAAUAGUUAAUCACAGGAACACAGAGAUGAAAAGAACCACAUGGGUCACUGAGCCCAGGUCUCUGAUAUUUUCUCAUUAUGAUUUACAACCUGGAUAGUAUCAAGAGCAUGCCAGGUGCUUCAUAUAGUCAAACAGUCUGACAAGCUGGUAUUUAUUUUGGAGCCAAGGAAGCCUGCCUGUUUUAUGAAUCAGGGUUGUUGUUAUUUUUUAUUUCGGGCCUGGGAGGUUGCUAAUCAUGUUGUUUACACUGUGCUUUGUGGGGUCAUAUUUUUUGCUCAUUUCCAUUGCUGUAGGCUGUGCUUCAUAUCUGGGUACUUUAAUUUAAGAUCCAAAAUUGUUAAAACUUCAUUUUAUCUUUACUGUGUUAUCUCUGAUUGCUUUUGCUUUGGAGUGUUUAGACACUGCCGCAUGCACAUAAAUAGCGGAAAUUGUCAGUAAAUAUGGAUGUGUGUCAUAUGCUGAAGCCCACUCAUGUACGCUUCCCAAAUUUGUAUGUGGUUUAAAUAUAUGUAUGAAUAGCAUUAAAAA